rnacentral:rRNA from 1 species
UAUGUGAUCGUCUCUCGCAUAUCAAUAAGCGGAGGAAAAGAAACUAACAAGGAUUCCCCUAGUAACGGCGAGUGAAGCGGGAAGAGCUCAAAUUUGAAAUCUUAAAGGGUUUCCCUUUACGAAUUGUAGUUUAAAGAAGUGUUUUCUGUUGAGGUUUUGGUAAAAGUUCUUUGGAAUAGGACAUCAUAGAGGGUGAGAAUCCCGUAUUUGACCUUUACUUUCAACUUUGUGAUACACUUUCAAAGAGUCGGAUUGUUUGGGAAUGCAGUCCAAAAUGGGUGGUAAAUUUCAUCUAAAGCUAAAUAUUGGCGAGAGACCGAUAGCGAACAAGUACCGUGAGGGAAAGAUGAAAAGAACUUUGAAAAGAGAGUUAAACAGUACGUGAAAUUGUCAAAAGGGAAGCGUUUGACACCAGUGUUGUUUUUCUGAAAAUCAAUUAAAGAACUGUUUAUGCUAAGCUGUUUAGACUUUAUCAGCUAACUGUUUAGUUUUGAGCUUUUCUUUAAUGCACUUUUCAGUUAACAAGUCAACAUCAAUUUCUUUUGCUGUAAAAAAGCUUGAGGAAGGUGGCUUGAGAUUCGUCUUAAGUGUUUAUAGCCUCUUGCCUAUGCAGUCGGAGAGAUUGAAGGUCUGCAGCGUAGAUCCUUCGGGGCUAAAUGCAUUUGUGCUAAGUUAUAGCAUUUUAUAGACAACUUGUUGACUACUGAUUUGUCUUGUAGCUUACUCGCUUAUGUUAUUUUACCUACGCUUAGGAUGUUGACUGAUAUGUAGUCGUA